UACGGAGGAUGCAAGCGUUAUCCGGAUUUAUUGGGCGUAAAGCGUCCGCAGGUGGCUAUACAAGUCUGCUGUUAAAGCGUGGGGCUUAACUCCAUACAGGCAGUGGAAACUGUAAAGCUAGAGUCUGGUAGGGGUCACGGGAAUUCCCAGUGUAGCGGUAAAAUGCGUAGAUAUUGGGAAGAACACCAGCGGCGAAAGCGCGUGACUGGGCCGGAACUGACACUCAUGGACGAAAGCUAGGGGAGCGAAAGGG
rnacentral:rRNA from 1 species